rnacentral:rRNA from 1 species
GCUUGUCUCAAAGAUUAAGCCAUGCAUGUCUAAGUGUAAAUACGUCUACACUGUGAAACUGCGAAUGGCUCAUUAAAUCAGUUAUCGUUUAUUUGAUGAUCUCUUGUUACAUGGAUAACCGUAGUAAUUCUAGAGCUAAUACAUGCGUCAAGCCCCGACUCACGAAGGGGUGUAUUUAUUAGAUUCAAAGCCAACCGUGUAAAAAGCGUACCUUGGUGAUUCAUAAUAACUGUUCGAAUCGCACGGGCAACCGGCGAUAGUUCAUUCAAAUUUCUGCCCUAUCAGCUUUCGACGGUAGUGUAGUGGACUACCGUGGCGUUAACGGGUAACGGAGAAUUAGGGUUCGAUUCCGGAGAGGGAGCCUGAGAAACGGCUACCACAUCCAAGGAAGGCAGCAGG